UAGGGAUGAUUCAAAGCCAGAAGUCAAAUGCUGCAAAACUUGCUGCACACUUUUCCACUGCCCCCUAUGCCCAACUUUUAAACCAACCGUAAACACGAAGCUUCAGUGCCACCUGGAAUCCCACAUAAAACAUUCCAUUACAUUUAAAGGGGCCAUUUGACAACAUUGUGGCUGGAGUUGCCUGGCUGCGUCAGAAUGCAGGUUUGCUCAGGGGGAAGGUGGUCAAGCCCGCAUUUCCGAAUAUGGACGCAAAAGAACAGCAGGAGCUCCUGGAAAGGAUACGUUCUUCAACUGAUGAAGAAGAAAAGUAUCCCCUGCUCUUCACAUUUGAUUUUCAGGAAGACAUGGAGGUCUUCCUAACAUGGCAGCUGAGGAGGAUCUUCGGGUCAACGCCAUGUUUCUGGGUCGCUGGGUGGACAGCCAGUGACAUUGCUGUGUGUGUGUGUGUGUGUGUGUGUGUGUGUGUGUGUGUGUGUGUUGAGGUUCUGAGUUCAGUUAUCUGUUGAGUGUUCUUAAUAAAGUGUUAUAACG
ensembl:lncRNA